rnacentral:rRNA from 1 species
UGGGGAAUAUUGCACAAUGGGCGCAAGCCUGAUGCAGCCAUGCCGCGUGUAUGAAGAAGGCCUUCGGGUUGUAAAGUACUUUCAGCGGGGAGGAAGGGAGUAAAGUUAAUACCUUUGCUCAUUGACGUUACCCGCAGAAGAAGCACCGGCUAACUCCGUGCCAGCAGCCGCGGUAAUACGGAGGGUGCAAGCGUUAAUCGGAAUUACUGGGCGUAAAGCGCACGCAGGCGGUUUGUUAAGUCAGAUGUGAAAUCCCCGGGCUCAACCUGGGAACUGCAUCUGAUACUGGCAAGCUUGAGUCUCGUAGAGGGGGGUAGAAUUCAAGGUGUAGUGGUGAAAUGCGUUGAGAUCUGGAGGAAUACCGGUGGCGAAGGCAGCCCCCUGGACGAAGACUGACGCUCAGGUGCGAAAGCGUGGGGAGCAAACAGG